rnacentral:rRNA from 1 species
AUUGAACGCUGGCGGCAGGCUUAACACAUGCAAGUCGAGCGGGGGAAGGUAGCUUGCUACCUAACCUAGCGGCGGACGGGUGAGUAAUGCUUAGGAAUCUGCCUAUUAGUGGGGGACAACAUUUCGAAAGGGAUGCUAAUACCGCAUACGCCCUAAGGGGGAAAGCAGGGGAUCUUCGGACCUUGCGCUAAUAGAUGAGCCUAAGUCGGAUUAGCUAGUUGGUGGGGUAAAGGCCUACCAAGGCGACGAUCUGUAGCGGGUCUGAGAGGAUGAUCCGCCACACUGGGACUGAGACACGGCCCAGACUCCUACGGGAGGCAGCAGUGGGGAAUAUUGGACAAUGGGGGGAACCCUGAUCCAGCCAUGCCGCGUGUGUGAAGAAGGCCUUUUGGUUGUAAAGCACUUUAAGCGAGGAGGAGGCUACCGAGAUUAAUACUCUUGGACAGUGGACGUUACUCGCAGAAUAAGCACCGGCUAACUCUGUG